AGAAUUUGAUCCUGGCUCAGGAUGAACGCUAGCGACAGGCCUAACACAUGCAAGUCGAGGGGCAGCGGAGAGGUAGCAAUACCUUUGCCGGCGACCGGCGCACGGGUGAGUAACACGUAUGCAAUCCACCUGUAACAGGGGGAUAACCCGGAGAAAUCCGGACUAAUACCCCAUAAUAUGGGCGCUCCGCAUGGAGAGCCCAUUAAAGAGAGCAAUUUUGGUUACAGACGAGCAUGCGCUCCCA
rnacentral:rRNA from 1 species